CACCGCGGUUAAACGAGGGGCCCUAGUUAAUAAUACACGGCGUAAAGGGUGGUUAAGGAAAGCAUAAUAAUAAAGCCAAAUGGCCCUUUGGCUGUCAUACGCUUCUAGGUGUCCGAAGCCCGAUAUACGAAAGUAGCUUUAACAAAGCCCACCUGACCCCACGAAAGCUGAGAAA
rnacentral:rRNA from 1 species